CUUAUUCGCGUGUGGAGCGUUUUACCUUCAGAGUUGAUUCAGUCGUCCGUAGUCCGUAGUAUAGUUUCAUUCGAUAGACACUUAAAUAAAGCCUUAACAAGAGCUUAAUUUUCACUUAAGAACUUCCGUCUGUUCUUAGCUGACAAUAGCUACGUUAUGUACUGCAAGCCUAUUCAGGGGACGCGGCCGCUUGCUAUCAAAGAUGAUUUAAUAAAAUUCAAUGAUAAUAGCAGCCAUGGGGUUGAGAAACAAGAAGAGCCCCAACCCGACCGAAGUAGUAGGGUCAGGCAUGAUUCGCUGCAGCAAACACACGGCAUCCACUGAAUAGUUUGUUUAGACAUAACAACUUAUUUGGGCAAAUAGCCUUAUCAAUCCACCGCCGAGGCAAUGCCGUCAUAAUCUAAUCAGAUUUGAUAAUGGUCAAUAAAAUAAUGUGUGAUCAGAUCAGUAACUCAAUAUUAUUUGAUAAGUUAAUAUGCAAUAUAUGAUAUGCAGAUA